rnacentral:rRNA from 1 species
AACUUUUAACAACGGAUCUCUUGGUUCUCGCAUCGAUGAAGAACGUAGCAAAGUGCGAUAACUARUGUGAAUUGCAUAUUCAGUGAAUCAUCGAGUCUUUGAACGCAACUUGCGCUCAUUGGUAUUCCAAUGAGCACGCCUGUUUCAGUAUCAAAA